ACGGAAGGCAGCAGUGGGGAAUAUUGGGCAAUGGACGAAAGUCUGACGCAGUGACGCCGCGUUUAGGAUGAAGGUUUUCGGAUUGUAAACUAUUGUCGUUAGGGAAGAUAAAAGACAGUACCUAAGGAGGAAGCUCCGGCUAACUACGUGCCAGCAGCCGCGGUAAUACGUAGGGAGCAAGCGUUAUCCGGAUUUAUUGGGUGUAAAGGGUGCGUAGACGGGAAGACAAGUUAGUUGUGAAAUCCCUCGGCUUAACUGAGGAACUGCAACUAAAACUAUCUUUCUUGAGUGCGGGAGAGGAAAGUGGAAUUCCUAGUGUAGCGGUGAAAUGCGUAGGUAUUAGGAGGAACACCAGUGGCGAAGGCGACUUUCUGGACCGUAACUGACGUUGAGGCACGAAAGUGUGGGGAGCAAACAGGAUUAGAUACCCUGGUA
rnacentral:rRNA from 1 species